rnacentral:pre_miRNA from 1 species
UUUCUACUUCCAAGGUCACCAGCUUGUUCAGAGCCUCAUCAUCUCUUUUCUGGACUAUUGGAAUAGCCUCCAAAUUGAUCUC